AUGGAAUCAUCCCUGGAUCAGAUCAGAUCAGAUCCGAUCCGAUCCCUUGUGCUCCUGAGGGAGGAUGGGGACAGUGAGCAGCUCCCUGAUCUUCCUGAGGAAGGGAAUGUGAGAUGGAAUCCUUCCUGGAUUGGAUCAGAUCAGUUCAGAUCAGACCAGAUCAGAUCAGAUCAGAUCAGAUCAGAUCAGACCCUUUGUGCUCCUGAGGGAGGAUGGGGACAGUGGGCAGCUCAGGGAGGAUGGGAAUGUGGAAUGAAAUCCUCCCUGGAUCAGAUCAGACCCCUCGUGCCCCUGAGGGAGGAUGGGGACAGUGAGCAGCUCCCUGAGCUUCUCAAGCAUAGGAAUUUGGGAUGGAAUCCUCCCCAGAUCAGAUCAGAUGGGAUCCCGAGGGGCUCUGCAGUGUCAGCACUUUCUGGAGUGUUUCCCAAAGUGCCCUUCGGGUGGUUCCAAGCACAUCCUGGAGAGCUGUGGAUAACAGGGAUGGCUGCCUGCCCAACCCAGGAAGCACCUGAGGUUUCCUGGGAGCCCAGCCCGGCUCUGUUCCCUCCUCAGCUCUGUGUCCAAAUCCUUGGGAUGCCUUUUUUCCAGAGGACUAGGACACAGCCAGGCAGAGGGACAGGUUGGAUCCCAUUCCAGAUCCCCAUCCCGGGGCUGGAACUGCUCCCUUGGAUCCCAUUCCAGAUCCCCAUCCCGGGGCUGGAACUGCCCCCUUGGAUCCCAUUCCAGAUCCCCAUCCCGGGGCUGGAACUGCUCCCUUGGAUCCCAUUCCAGAUCCCCAUCCCAGGGCUGGAACUGCUCCCUUGGAUCCCAUUCCAGAUCCCCAUCCCGGGGCUGGAAAACCUCCCUUGGAUCCCAUUCCAGAUCCCCAUUCCGGGGCUGGAAAACCUCCCUUGGAUCCCAUUCCAGAUCCCCAUCCCGGGGCUGGAACACCUCCCUUGGAUCGCAUUCCAGAUCCCGGGACUGGAACACCUCCUGCAUCCCUUGGGAAUGAGGAACUCUCCCAAGUUCCCAAAUCUGGGAGAGGCACAUUCACACACACAGCUCCAUCCUUCCAUCUCCAGGGAUCACCAUUCCAGAGGGUGA
rnacentral:lncRNA from 1 species